rnacentral:rRNA from 1 species
UUGGAGGGCAAGUCUGGUGCCAGCAGCCGCGGUAAUUCCAGCUCCAAUAGCGUAUAUUAAAGUUGUUGCAGUUAAAAAGCUCGUAGUUGAAUUUCGGGGUUAGUAGGUUGGUCAUGCCACUGGUAUGUACUGGUCUCACUGAUUCCUCCUUCCUGAUGAGACGUAAUGCCAUUAAUUUGGUGUUGCGAGGAAUCUGGACUGUUACUUUGAAAAAAUUAGAGUGUUUAAAGCAGGCUAACGCUUGAAUACAUUAGCAUGGAAUAAUGAAAUAGGACGUUCGAUCUUAUUUUGUUGGUUUCUAGGAUUGACGUAAUGAUUAAUAGGGAUAGUUGGGGGCAUUAGUAUUCAAUUGUCAGAGGUGAAAUUCUUGGAUUUAUUGAAGACUAACUACUGCGAAAGCAUUUGCCAAGGAUGUUUUCAUUAAUCAAGAACGAAAGUUAGGGGAUCGAAGACGAUCAGAUACCGUCGUAGUCUUAACCAUAAACUAUGCCGACUAGGGAUCGGAUGAUGUUAAUUUUUUAAUGACUCAUUCGGCGCCUUACGGGAAACCAAAGUGUUUGGGUUC